CCGCCGGGGGUAGAGCACUGGAUGGGCUAGGGGGGCGCGAGCCUUACCAAACCUAACCAAACUCCGAAUACCGAGGAGUACUAGAUGGCAGACACACUGCGGGUGCUAAGGUCCGUAGUGGAGAGGGAAACAGCCCUGACCACCAGCUAAGGUCCCUAAGUUAUCACUAAGUGGGAAACGAUGUGGGAGUGCUUAGACAACCAGGAGGUUGGCUUAGAAGCAGCCAUCCUUUAAAGAAAGCGUAAUAGCUCACUAGUCGAGUCGGCCUGCGCGGAAGAUGUAACGGGGCUCAAACUGGUCACCGAAGCUGCGGCUGCAUACUUUGUAUGCGGGGUAGGGGAGCGUUCUGUAAGCCUGCGAAGGUGUGUUGAGAAGCAUGCUGGAGGUAUCAGAAGUGCGAAUGCUGACAUGAGUAACGACAAUGCGGGUGAAAAACCCGCACGCCGGAAGACCAAGGGUUCCUGCGCAACGCUAAUCGGCGCAGGGUGAGUCGGCCCCUAAGGCGAGACCGAAAGGUGUAGUCGAUGGGAAACGGGUUAAUAUUCCCGUACCUUGGAUAGCUGCGAUGGAGAGACGGAGAAGGCUAGGUGAGCCGGGCGACGGUUGUCCCGGUUUAAGCGAGUAGGGAGUGGACUUAGGCAAAUCCGGGUCCACAAUCUCGAGACGCGACGACGACUGCUCUUAGAGCGGGAAGUCAUUGAUGCCAUGCUUCCAGGAAAAUCUUCUAAGCUUCAGGCUAUUCGAGACCGUACCCCAAACCGACACAGGUGGUCAGGUAGAGAAUACCAAGGCGCUUGAGAGAACUCGGGUAAAGGAACUAGGCAAAAUGGUGCCGUAACUUCGGGAGAAGGCACGCUGGUGGUAAGUGAAAUCCCUGCGGGUGGAGCUGAAGCCAGUCGAAGAUACCAGGCCCCUGCGACUGUUUAUUAAAAACACAGCACUGUGCAAACACGAAAGUGGACGUAUACGGUGUGACGCCUGCCCGGUGCCGGAAGGUUAAGAGGAGAGGUGAGAGCUUUGAAUCGAAGCCCCGGUAAACGGCGGCCGUAACAAUAACGGUCCUAAGGUAGCGAAAUUCCUUGUCGGGUAAGUUCCGACCCGCACGAAAGGCGUAAUGAUUUGGAUACUGUCUCGGAGAGGGACUCGGUGAAAUAGACUUGUCUGUGAAGAUGCGGACUACCUGCACCUGGACAGAAAGACCCUAUGAAGCUUUACUGUAACUUGAAAUUGAAAUUGGACUUUAUUCGCGCAGUAUAGGUGGGAGGCGCUGAAAAUAAUCUUGCGGGAAUAUUGGAGCCAUCAGUGAGAUACCACUCUUAUAAUGUUAGAUUUCUAACUUUGAAUCAUUAUCUGGUCAAAGAACAGUUUCAGGCGGGCAGUUUGACUGGGGCGGUCGCCUCCCAAAUGGUAACGGAGGCGUACAAAGGUUUCCUCUGAACGGGUAGAAAUCGUAUCUAGAGUAUAAAGGCAAAAGGAAGCUUGACUGUGAGACCUACAAGUCGAGCAGGGACGAAAGUCGGUCUUAGUGAUCUGACGGUACUGAGUGGAAAGGCCGUCACUCAACGGAUAAAAGUUACUCUAGGGAUAACAGGCUGAUCUCCCCCAAGAGUUCACAUCGACGGGGAGGUUUGGCACCUGGAUGUCGGCUCAUCGCAUCCUGG
rnacentral:rRNA from 1 species